UUCGAAAACGUAGGCAAUUUCAUACAUUGAUUUCAAAAAUUUUUAAAAUAAAAUAUAGUGAAAGAUAUCUAGAUUAAUUAUAUUAAUCCAAUAUAUAUAUAAUCUAAUCAUCAAAUCAACCUAUUCUAGGAUCUAUGACAUGAUAUGUUGCAUAUAGAAUCUGAAAUAAUCACAUGAUAAAAUCUACAUGCAUGGAUGUAAGCGGCAGAUCAAUUCUACACCUAUCUG
rnacentral:lncRNA from 1 species